UACAGAGGUCCCAAGCGUUGUUCGGAUUCACUGGGCGUAAAGGGUGCGUAGGCGGUCGGGUAAGUCUGAUGUGAAAUCUCACAGCUUAACUGUGAAACUGCAUUGGAUACUAUCCGGCUCGAGGAAUGGAGGGGAGACUGGAAUACUUGGUGUAGCAGUGAAAUGCGUAGAUAUCAAGUGGAACACCCAGUGGCGAAGGCGAGUCUCUGGACAUUUCCUGACGCUGAGGCACGAAAGCCAGGGGAGCAAACGGG
rnacentral:rRNA from 1 species